UACGAAGGGGGGCUAGCGUUGUUCGGAAUUACUGGGCGUAAAGGGCGCGUAGGCGGUACUUCAAGUCAGGCGUGAAAGCCCCGGGCUCAACCUGGGAACCGCGCUUGAGACUGGAGAACUAGAGUUCGGGAGAGGAUGGUGGAAUUCCUGGUGUAGCGGUGAAAUGCGCAGAUAUCAGGAAGAACACCGAUGGCGAAGGCAGCUCUCUGGGACGGUACUGACGCUGAGACGCGAAAGCGUGGGGAGCGAACAGG
rnacentral:rRNA from 1 species